rnacentral:rRNA from 1 species
GAUGAACGCUGGCGGCGUGCCUAAUACAUGCAAGUCGAGCGAACGGACGAGAAGCUUGCUUCUCUGAUGUUAGCGGCGGACGGGUGAGUAACACGUGGAUAACCUACCUAUAAGACUGGGAUAACUUCGGGAAACCGGAGCUAAUACCGGAUAAUAUUUUGAACCGCAUGGUUCAAAAGUGAAAGACGGUCUUGCUGUCACUUAUAGAUGGAUCCGGGCUGCAUUAGCUAGUUGGUAAGGUAACGGCUUACCAAGGCAACGAUGCAUAGCCGACCUGAGAGGGUGAUCGGCCACACUGGAACUGAGACACGGUCCAGACUCCUACGGGAGGCAGCAGUAGGGAAUCUUCCGCAAAGGGCGAAAGCCUGACGGAGCAACGCCGCGUGAGUGAUGAAGGUCUUCGGAUCGUAAAACUCUGUUAUUAGGGAAGAACAUAUGUGUAAGUAACUGUGCACAUCUUGACGGUACCUAAUCAGAAAGCCACGGCUAACUACGUG